UACAGAGGGGGCUAGCGUUGUUCGGAAUCACUGGGCGUAAAGCGUACGCAGGCUGUUUCGUAAGUCGGGUGUGAAAGCCCGGGGCUCAACCCCGGAAUUGCGCCCGAGACUGCGGAGCUUGAAUGCGGGAGAGGGAAGCGGAAUUCCUGGUGUAGAGGUGAAAUUCGUAGAUAUUCGGAAGAACACCAGUGGCGAAGGCGACUGACUGGACAUGUAUUGACGCUGAGGUGCGAAAGCGUGGGGAGCAAACAGGGAUUAAGAAACCCCAGGUACAGUCCG
rnacentral:rRNA from 1 species